rnacentral:misc_RNA from 1 species
AAGUCGUAACAAGGUCUCCGUUGGUGAACCAGCGGAGGGAUCAUUAAAGAGUUCUAUAACUCCCAAACCCAUGUGAACAUACUUAACGUUGCCUCGGCAGGUCACGCCUACCUCGUAGUGCCCUACCCUGUAGGGCCUACCCGGGAGACGUGGUUCAGCCUGCCGGCGGCCUACCAAACUCUGUUUGAUAUUGAAUUCUGAACCUAUAACUAAAUAAGUUAAAACUUUCAACAACGGAUCUCUUGGUUCUG